CCUAUGAAGUUGGCUCACUUUGAAACCCUCUCGUUCUCUCGAACCUUCGCUUCUCCGUUGUUGCCACUCUCUUGUUGAUCACCGCCACCGCGUUACCGCCACCGCGUCACCGCCUCCGCGUCACCGCCACCGCGUCACCAUGUCUCUCGAACCAGGUUUGCUAUUAGAUUCGCUUUGUGGCUUUUCAAUUUCUCCGUCGUUCCGCUUCCAAUGGCAUCAAAUAACCACUCACCACCUCUCGAGAUAUUAGUUCGAGGACUAGAAGACUUGUCUCUCUAGACCAUCCAGAAAGUGAAAUGCAUCAACGCGAAGUUCAGCGACGACGGAUCCAAGCUCAUGGCGACAAAAUCGAACUUGCUGAUUAGCGUCUACGAUCGCAGAACCGCCAAAGAGAUUUGGGCUUUUGAAGUCCCCAAUGCCAUCGCCGCGGCUUUAUCGCCCAAUGGAACUUACUUUCAAACCUUUCAGAAGCCUUUGGCGCCGCAGGAGAAGAACGUCACACUGUGGAGCAUCGAGAUCGGUGCUACGGUUUACCAGCAGUCGCAGAAGAACAUGACCACACCCGUUGCAUAAAUUGGCACGGCAUUUGAUUUCUCUAAAUUUGGCUGCUAUGUUGAGAAGUUGAGUGAUAUGUGGAUUUCAAAAAUUUCUUUAAUUUCUCUAAAUUAUAUUGACGCAUAUACAACUUAACCAGAGAGCAAAAACAAGUUGGAUGAGAGAGUAAAAAAGCUAUGGUAGAGGCGUUGUGUCUUGAAGACAACCAUUACUGGACCUGCAAGCACAUGCAUGAAAAUAUUUCAGGCACGAUGGUGAACAACGAAAACAGUGUAGGAUAUAUGAGAUGUAUGUCUGAUUUCUUCCCAUAUUCCAUUUUUUAUUGGUGAAAAUUAUAAAUUGUAAGGCAUUUCUGGAAAUGAAUUAAUUUGAUUAUCAUAAAAUUGUUUUUGGUUGCAUAUAUCUGGGGGAGUUGUCCUGUUGAUUCAAAUUUAUGAGAAUUACUCCGUAUCAGUUA